rnacentral:rRNA from 1 species
AGGCAGCAGUGGGGAAUUUUCCGCAAUGGGCGAAAGCCUGACGGAGCAACGCCGCGUGAGGGAUGAGGGCCUCUGGGCUGUAAACCUCUUUUAUCAAGGAAGAAGAUCUGACGGUACUUGAUGAAUAAGCCACGGCUAAUUCCGUGCCAGCAGCCGCGGUAAUACGGGAGUGGCAAGCGUUAUCCGGAAUUAUUGGGCGUAAAGCGUCCGCAGGCGGUCUUGUAAGUCUGUCGUUAAAGCGUGGAGCUUAACUCCAUUUGAGCGAUGGAAACUGCAAGACUAGAGUGUGGUAGGGGCAGAGGGAAUUCCCGGUGUAGCGGUGAAAUGCGUAGAUAUCGGGAAGAACACCAGUGGCGAAGGCGCUCUGCUGGGCCAUAACUGACGCUCAUGGACGAAAGCCAGGGGAGCGAAAGGGAUUAGAUACCCCUGUAGUCCUGGCCGUAAACGAUGAACACUAGGUGUCGGGGGAAUCGACCCCCUCGGUGUCGUAGCCAACGCGUUAAGUGUUCCGCCUGGGGAGUACGCACGCAAGUGUGAAACUCAAAUGAAUUGACGG